GCGUCAGAAGUAUAAUGGGUUAGAGCACGCAUUCUUGGACAGAGUGAGAUGUGGGUUCAAGUCCCGUUUGACGCA